rnacentral:rRNA from 1 species
ACACAUGCAAGUCGUACGAGAGUUUUUAACUCAAGUGGCGGACGGGUGAGUAACACGUGAGAAUUUACCUUUAGGAGGGGGAUAACAAUUGGAAACGAUUGCUAAUACCCCAUAUGCUUUUUUAAGUGAAAUGGAUUUUUCCGCCUAAAGAAAAGCUCGCGGCUGAUUAGCUAGUUGGUAAGGUAAUGGCUUACCAAGGCGACGAUCAGUAUCUGGUUUGAGAGGACGAUCAGACACACUGGAACUGAGACACGGUCCAGACUCCUACGGGAGGCAGCAGUGGGGAAUUUUCCGCAAUGGGCGAAAGCCUGACGGAGCAAUACCGCGUGAGGGAAGACAGCCUACUGGGUUGUAAACCUCUUUUUUCAGGGAGGAAAAAAAUGGCGUGUACCUGAAGAAUAAGCGUCGGCUAACUCCGUGCCAGCAGCCGCGGUAAGACGGAGGAUGCAAGUGUUAUCCGGAAUUACUGGGCGUAAAGCGUCUGUAGGUGGUUUAAUAAGUCAACUGUUAAAUCUUGAGGCUUAACUUCAAAACAGCAGUCGAA